AUCUCAUCAUCAUCAUCCUGACUAGUCUUUCGGGAGGAUACGCCUCACCCUGGAAGACGUCUUUUUUCUUCCAGUGGUCAUAACGGAAUAUCUCAUUCAGACCCUCGGAAGAAACUUCUUUCGAGGGUUUUUUAAU
rfam:Photobacterium iliopiscarium strain ATCC 51761 CFSAN029430_contig0018, whole genome shotgun sequence.